GACGAAGGAUGCAAGCGUUAUCCGGAUUCAUUGGGUUUAAAGGGAGCGUAGGCGGAUUUGUAAGUCAGUGGUGAAAUCUCCGGGCUCAACCCGGAAACUGCCAUUGAUACUGCAGGUCUAGAGUACAGUUGCCGUUGGCGGAAUAUGACAUGUAGUGGUGAAAUUCGUAGAUAUUCGGAAGAACACCAGUGGCGAAGGCGACUUACUGGACACAUAUUGACGCUGAGGUGCGAAAGCGUGGGGAGCAAACAGGG
rnacentral:rRNA from 1 species